AGUCGAGCGGACAGAAGGGAGCUUGCUCCCGGAUGUUAGCGGGGACGGGUGAGUAACACGUGGGUAACCUGCCUGUAAGACUGGGAUAACUCCGGGAAACCGGAGCUAAUACCGGAUAGUUCCUUGAACCGCAUGGUUCAAGGAUGAAAGACGGUUUCGGCUGUCACUUACAGAUGGACCCGCGGCGCAUUAGCUAGUUGGUGGGGUAAUGGCUCACCAAGGCGACGAUGCGUAGCCGACCUGAGAGGGUGAUCGGCCACACUGGGACUGAGACACGGCCCAGACUCCUACGGGAGGCAGCAGUAGGGAAUCUUCCGCAAUGGACGAAAGUCUGACGGAGCAACGCCGCGUGAGUGAUGAAGGUUUUCGGAUCGUAAAGCUCUGUUGUUAGGGAAGAACAAGUGCGAGAGUAACUGCUCGCACCUUGACGGUACCUAACCAGAAAGCCACGGCUAACUACGUGCCAGCAGCCGCGGUAAUACGUAGGUGGCAAGCGUUGUCCGGAAUUAUUGGGCGUAAAGGGCUCGCAGGCGGUUUCUUAAGUCUGAUGUGAAAGCCCCCGGCUCAACCGGGGGAGGGUCAUUGGAAACUGGGAAACUUGAGUGCAGAAGAGGAGAGUGGAAUUCCACGUGUAGCGGUGAAAUGCGUAGAGAUGUGGAGGAACACCAGUGGCGAAGGCGACUCUCUGGUCUGUAACUGACGCUGAGGAGCGAAAGCGUGGGGAGCGAAAGGAUAGAUACCCUGGUAGUCCACGCCGUAAACGAUGAGUGCUAAGUGUUAGGGGGUUUCCGCCCCUUAGUGCUGCAGCUAACGCAUUAAGCACUCCGCCUGGGGAGUACGGUCGCAAGACUGAACUCAAAGGAAUUGACGGGGGCCCGCACAAGCGGUGGAGCAUGUGGUUAAUUCGAAGCAACGCGAAGAACCUUACCAGGUCUUGACAUCCUCUGACAACCCUAGAGAUAGGGCUUUCCCUUCGGGGACAGAGUGACAGGUGGUGCAUGGUUGUCGUCAGCUCGUGUCGUGAGAUGUUGGGUUAAGUCCCGCAACGAGCGCAACCCUUGAUCUUAGUUGCCAGCAUUCAGUUGGGCACUCUAAGGUGACUGCCGGUGACAAACCGGAGGAAGGUGGGGAUGACGUCAAAUCAUCAUGCCCCUUAUGACCUGGGCUACACACGUGCUACAAUGGACAGAACAAAGGGCUGCAAGACCGCAAGGUUUAGCCAAUCCCAUAAAUCUGUUCUCAGUUCGGAUCGCAGUCUGCAACUCGACUGCGUGAAGCUGGAAUCGCUAGUAAUCGCGGAUCAGCAUGCCGCGGUGAAUACGUUCCCGGGCCUUGUACACACCGCCCGUCACACCACGAGAGUUUGCAACACCCGAAGUCGGUGAGGUAACCUUUAUGGAGCCAGCCGCCGAAG
rnacentral:rRNA from 1 species